GAGAAAGAUAAACCUGACAGAAAAUACAGCAACGGUAAAUCUACAAUCUGUGGCUUCUCACCUGGAGUGGAGACCUGCUUUGGCGAUGCAGGCUCAGCUGUGGAGUACGAAGGAUAUCUGCAAGGAAUUAUUGUUAGCCAGCCUGCGGAUACAUGUGCUAACUCCAUUGUAAUGCUGGACAUCUGCCAGUACAUGGAGUGGAUUGGCAAAACAAUGAAGGAAAACUGAUGAAUACUUUCCAGAUAUUCCUUAUUUAAUAAUUAAAAUGACUAUCAUAUUUACCUAUUUCUUUGUGCUUAUUAGUCAAACUAUAGCCUGUAAUCUUAGAUAAAUAUUUCAAAAGUAUGAGUUAAGACCAUAGUAAAAUACAGUACUUUUGUCCAGCUGCCCAUUUUCCCAUCAUUCAUCUCCAUAAAUAAAAAGAUAGAACUAUCAUAACUUCA